UUCGUGUGUACAGCCAAUCCGUAUAUUUUGUGAAACGAUGAUGUCAUCACAUCACGUGUUGGCUGCGUCACACUCUUCUUCUCCGUGUAUAGUGUAUCUCUGUGGCAGAAUUACAGCGCCCCAUACUGGUCUGGCAUAUAUACUACA